CUGGCGGCGCGCCUAAACAUGCAAGUCGAACGAGAAAGUCCGCAAGGAUGAGUAAAGUGGCGUACGGGUGAGUAACACGUGGAUAACCUGCCCUUUAGUGGGGAAUACCGCUGGGAAACCGGCGACAAUACCGCAUAAGCUCGAGAGAGGAAAGCAGCAAUGCGCUGAAGGAGGGGUCCGCGGCCGAUUAGCUAGUUGGCAGGGUAAAAGCCUACCAAGGCUGUGAUCGGUAGCCGGCCUGAGAGGGCACACGGCCACACUGACACUGAAACACGGGCCAGACUCCUACGGGAGGCAGCAGUGGGGAAUCUUGCACAAUGGGGGAAACCCUGAUGCAGCGACGCUGCGUGAGCGAUGAAGCCCUUCGGGGUGUAAAGCUCUUUCGGCAGGGACGAUAAUGACGGUACCUGCAGAAGCAGCUGCGGCUAACUACGUGCCAGCAGCCGCGGUAAUACGUAGGCAGCAAGCGUUGUUCGGAGUUACUGGGCGUAAAGGGUGCGUANGCGGCUUCUUAAGUCUGGUGUGAAAUCUCCCGGCUCAACUGGGAGGGUGCGCCGGAUACUGAGGGGCUANAGUGUGGGAG
rnacentral:rRNA from 1 species